AAUAGAUACCCGGGUAGUCCACGCCGUAAACGAUGAGUGCUAAGUGUUAGGGGGUUUCCGCCCCUUAGUGCUGCAGCUAACGCAUUAAGCACUCCGCCUGGGGAGUACGGUCGCAAGACUGAAACUCAAAGGAAUUGACGGGGGCCCGGCACAAGCGGUGGAGCAUGUGGUUUAAUUCGAAGCAACGCGAAGAACCUUACCAGGUCUUGACAUCCCGUUGACCACUAUGGAGACAUGGUUUUCCCUUCGGGGACAACGGUGACAGGUGGUGCAUGGUUGUCGUCAGCUCGUGUCGUGAGAUGUUGGGUUAAGUCCCGCAACGAGCGCAACCCUUGUUCUUAGUUGCCAUCAUUUAGUUGGGCACUCUAAGGAGACUGCCGGUGACAAACCGGAGGAAGGUGGGGAUGACGUCAAAUCAUCAUGCCCCUUAUGACCUGGGCUACACACGUGCUACAAUGGACGGUACAAACGGUUGCCAACCCGCGAGGGGAGCUAAUCCGAUAAAACCGUUCUCAGUUCGGAUUGUAGGCUGCAACUCGCCUACAUGAAGCCGGAA
rnacentral:rRNA from 1 species